rnacentral:rRNA from 1 species
UACGGGGGAUGCAAGCGUUGUCCGGAAUCAUUGGGCGUAAAGAGUUCGUAGGUGGUUUGUUAAGUUAGGUGUUAAAGGCAGAGGCUCAACUUCUGUAUGGCACUUGAUACUGGCAGACUAGAAUGCGGUAGAGGUAAAGGGAAUUCCUGGUGUAGCGGUGAAAUGCGUAGAUAUCAGGAGGAACAUCGGUGGCGUAAGCGCUUUACUGGGCCGUAAUUGACACUGAGGAACGAAAGCCAGGGUAG